GACGGGGGGACUUUGCGAUAAACUACUUGGAAAAACGAGAAAUUUCGAGAAACUCGAGUUUCUCGGCCCGCGACAUGUAAAUAAGGACUGUCAUCGUCAACGUCGUCUGGGUUCGAGGCUCGCGCAUCCAUAUCCCGCGGAUUACCGGCAGUCAUUGCGACACACGGUCUAUCCUCAUCGUGAUAUGCGGGGCGCCGCGUCGCGCGUCGUCGCCGUCGCCGCCGUCGCCGUCGCUGUCGCCGUCAUCGUAGUCGUGGACAACGAGCGUUAAACGCGUCGCGCUACUGUCGUGUCCGUUUCCAGGUACCACCGUACGAAGGAUGCCGGUGAAGGUCGACGUGGUACCGCCACCGCCCGCGAACUCGAAACAGCCCGGUGUCACCAAGUCCCUGUUAUACAACGGCUCGCGUUUUCAGGGUUCGCAAAAGUCCAAGGGCAACAGUUACGACGUAGAGGUGGUUUUGCAGCACGUAGACGAAGAGAACAGUUACCUGUGCGGAUAUUUGAAAAUUAAGGGUUUGACCGAGGAAUUUCCGACUUUGACAACGUUUUUCGACGGCGAAAUUAUUUCGAAAAAAUAUCCGUUUCUCACCCGCAAGUGGGAUGCGGACGAAGAUGUUGACAAGAAACACUGGAGUAAGUUUGAGUCGUUCUGCCAAUAUGCCAAAACAUUCAAUUCCGAUACAUUUGAUUACGAGGCACUGAAGGGAACAGACUUUGUAUUUAUGAGGUGGAAGGAGCACUUUUUAGUUCCCGAUCACACAAUCAAAGAUAUUAAUGGUGCCUCUUUUGCGGGAUUCUACUACAUUUGCUUCCAGAAAUCCGCCGCCACAAUAGAGGGCUUUUAUUAUCAUCGUAGUUCCGAAUGGUAAAACAAUACACAAGUCUGCAUCUAUUAUAAGUUAAAAACUGGAUAACACUGAAACUUAAUCGGUAUCAGUCCUUGAAUUUGAGACAUGUUCCGGAACACAGUAUACAAAUUUAUGAAUUCAGGUGAAGUCCAUACUUUUGCUGAGAAAUCUCACGACAUUCAUGUUUUUUCUCUUCUAGCACACAGAUCUCAUAAAAAUUUGCCCGAUCGAUUUAUCGGUUGUAAUAAAUUGAUUUAUUAAUUGUGACACUUCAUAGAUUUGAGAUUUGCAGUGAAAAGAAUUUAAAAUUUGAUAAUAUUCUUCUUAGUCGAUUGUGCUAAGAAUUAUAAAGAUGAGGAUUGUGGAGUGCCUAUUUAGUGCUUGAAUGACAAUUGAUUACAGAUUAAUUAUUCUACCAUUGUAAAAUGAUUUUUUGCCGAAAUAAAUUAUCUGAGAGGCAUAUCAUUUUAAA